rnacentral:rRNA from 1 species
GAUGAACGCUGGCGGCGUGCCUAAUACAUGCAAGUCGAGCGAACGGACGAGAAGCUUGCUUCUCUGAUGUUAGCGGCGGACGGGUGAGUAACACGUGGAUAACCUACCUAUAAGACUGGGAUAACUUCGGGAAACCGGAGCUAAUACCGGAUAAUAUUUUGAACCGCAUGGUUCAAAAGUGAAAGACGGUCUUGCUGUCACUUAUAGCUGGAUCCGCGCUGCAUUAGCUAGUUGGUAAGGUAACGGCUUACCAAGGCAACGAUGCAUAGCCGACCUGAGAGGGUGAUAGGCCACACGGGAACGGAGACACGGUCCAGACUCCUACGGGAGGCAGCAGUAGGGAAUCUUCCGCAAUGGGCGAAAGCAUGACGGAGCAACGCCGCGUGAGUGAUGAAGGUCUUCGGAUCGUAAAACUCUGUUAUUAGGGAAGAACAUAUGUGUAAGUAACUGUGCACAUCUUGACGGUACCUAAUCAGAAAGCCACGGCUAACUACGUG